UACGUAGGGUCCGAGCGUUGUCCGGAAUUAUUGGGCGUAAAGAGCUCGUAGGCGGUCUGUCGCGUCGGCUGUGAAAACACGGGGCUCAACUCCGUGCCUGCAGUCGAUACGGGCAGACUAGAGUUCGGUAGGGGAGACUGGAAUUCCUGGUGUAGCGGUGAAAUGCGUAGAUAUCUGGAGGAACACCGGUGGCGAAGGCGGCAUCCUGGACCGGUAUUGACGCUGAGGCGCGAAAGCCAGGGGAGCAAACGGG
rnacentral:rRNA from 1 species